rnacentral:rRNA from 1 species
GAUGAACGCUGGCGGCGUGCUUAAUCCAUGCAAGUCAACCGAACGGCCGAGAAGUUUGUUUUUCUGAUGUUGCGGCCGACCGGGUGAUAACUCCGUGUUUACCCUACCUUUAGGACUGGAUUAACUUGGGGAACCCGGGUUAAAUACCGGACAAUAUUUUGAACCGCAUGGUUAAAAAGUAAAAACCGUCUUUGCUGUCACUUAUAGUUGGUCCCGCGCUGCAUUAGCUAGUUGGUAAGGUAACGGCUUACCAAGGCAACGAUGCAUAGCCGACCUGAGAGGGUGAUCGGCCACACUGGAACUGAGACACGGUCCAGACUCCUACGGGAGGCAGCAGUAGGGAAUCUUCCGCAAUGGGCGAAAGCCUGACGGAGCAACGCCGCGUGAGUGAUGAAGGUCUUCGGAUCGUAAAACUCUGUUAUUAGGGAAGAACAUAUGUGUAAGUAACUGUGCACAUCUUGACGGUACCUAAUCAGAAAGCCACGGCUAACUACGUG